UACGGGGGGAGCAAGCGUUGUUCGGAUUUACUGGGCGUAAAGGGCGCGUAGGCGGUCGUGACAAGUCACUUGUGAAAUCUCCGGGCUUAACUCGGAACGGUCAAGUGAUACUGUCGGACUAGAGUACAGAAGGGGCAACUGGAAUUCUCGGUGUAGCGGUGAAAUGCGUAGAUAUCGAGAGGAACACCUGCGGCGAAGGCGGGUUGCUGGGCUGAUACUGACGCUGAGGCGCGAAAGUGUGGGGAGCGAACAGG
rnacentral:rRNA from 1 species